GAAUUUGAUCUUGGUUCAGAUUGAAUGCUUACGGCGUGGAUGAGGCAUGCAAGUCGAACGAGGUGAAAUUGUGUAUUUAUAUACAAAUUCACCUAGUGGCGGAAGGGUUAGUAAUAAAUGAAUAAUCUACCUUAUACAUGAGGAUAACCAUGGGAAACUGUGGCUAAAAGUUAAUGAGGUGAAUUAAGGCAUCUUAAUUACAUCAAAAGUAGGUUCUAGCAAUAGACUACCGGUAUAAGAGGGGUUCAUUGGAUAUCAGCUAGUUGGUGAGGUAAAAGCUUACCAAGGCUAAGACGUCUAGGCGGGCUGAGAGGUUGACCGCCAACACUGGGACUGAGACACUGCCCAGACUUUUACGGGAGGCUGCAGUCGAGAAUCAUUCGCAAUGGGGGAAACCCUGACGAUGCGACGCCGUGUAAACGAAGAAGGCCUUAGGGUUGUAAAGUUUUUUUAGUUGGGAGAAAGGUUAUAAAUUGAAAAGAUAUAUAACUUGAUAGUACCAGCAGAAUAAGCACCGGCUAACUCCGUGCCAGCAGCUGCGGUAAUACGGAGGGUGCCAGCAUUAAUCGGAAUUAUUGGGCGUAAAGGGCGCGUAGGUGGAAAUAUAAGUUCAAUAUGAAAGAGUCAGGCUUAACCUGAUAAACAUAUUGAAAACUAUAUGUCUAGAGGUUGGACGGGGAAAACAGAAUUUCACGUGUAGCGGUGGAAUGCGUAGAUAUGUGAAGGAAUACCGGUGGCGAAGGCGGUUUUCUAGUUUAAACCUGACACUGAGGCGCGAAAACAAGGGUAGCAAACAGGAUUAGAUACCCUGGUAGUCCUUGCAGUAAACGAUGUAUACUUGAUGUAGCAGGACUCAAUCCCUGCUGUGUCGAAGCAAACGCGAUAAGUAUACCGCCUGAGGAGUACGCUCGCAAGUGUGAAACUCAAAAGAAUUGACGGGGACCCGCACAAGCAGUGGAGCAUGUGGUUUAAUUCGAUGCAACGCGAAGAACCUUACCCAGGCUUGACAUGCAGGUAGAUGUUUAAGAGAUUAAACAGCAUUUAGUUGGACCUGUGCAGGUGCUGCAUGGCUGUCGUCAGCUCGUGCCGUGAGGUGUUGGGUUAAGUCCCGCAACGAGCGCAACCCUUAUCGUUAGUUGCUAACAAGUAAAGUUGAGGACUCUAGCGAGACAGCCUAGGUUAACUAGGAGGAAGGUGAGGAUGACGUCAAGUCAGCAUGGCCCUUAUGUCUGGGGCUACACACGUGCUACAAUGGUAUGGACGGAAGGAGGCGAAGCCGAGAGGUGAGAGCAAACCCUAGAAACCAUAUCUCAGUUCGGAUUGUAGUCUGCAACUCGACUACAUGAAGUUGGAAUUGCUAGUAAUGGCGUGUCAGCAAUAACGCCGUGAAUACGUUCCCGGGUCUUGUACCCACCGCCCGUCACAUCAUGGGAGUUGGUAUUACCCGAAGUCGUUGACCUAACUAUUUAUAGGAGGAGGCGCCUAAGGUAAUGCGGAUGACUGGGAUGAAGUCGUAACAAGGUA
rnacentral:rRNA from 1 species